UCUUCAUUCCACCGGAUUCUGUUUCCCAUGCAGUAGAUUCCCAGUGGGAUGAAGUGC
rnacentral:pre_miRNA from 1 species